rnacentral:rRNA from 1 species
AAAGGAAUUGACGGGGCCCCGCACAAGCAGCGGAGCGUGUGGUUUAAUUCGAUGUUACACGAAGAACCUUACCAGGGUUUGACAUGCAAGUGGUAGGAAACUGAAAAGGGACCGACCCUUCGGGGAGCUUGCACAGGUGCUGCAUGGCUGUCGUCAGCUCGUGUCGUGAGAUGUUCGGUUAAGUCCGCUAACGAGCGCAACCCUCGCUGUGUGUUACAAGUGUCACACGGUACUGCCGGUCUUAAGCCGGAGGAAGGUGGGGAUGACGUCAAGUCAGCAUGGCCUUUAUAUCCUGGGCUACACACACGCUACAAUGGCCAACACAAUAGGUUGCUAAAUCGCGAGAUGGAGCCAAUCCAAUAAAGUUGGUCUCAGUUCAGAUUGUAGGCUGCAACUCGCCUGCAUGAAGAUGGAGUUGCUAGUAAACGCAGGUCAGCUAUACUGCGUUGAAUACGUUCCCGGGGCUUGUACACACCGCCCGU